rfam:Equus caballus chromosome 1, whole genome shotgun sequence.
ACUCAGGUUUUUUUAAAAACCACUAAAAUAUAAAAAUAAUUUUGCU